rnacentral:rRNA from 1 species
CUGGCUCAGGAUGAACGCUGGCGGCGUGCUUAACACAUGCAAGUCGAACGGAGUUUUAACGGAAGUUUCGGAUGGAAGUUUAGAACUUAGUGGCGGACGGGUGAGUAACGCGUGGGUAACCUGCCUCAUACAGGGGGAUAACAGUUAGAAAUGACUGCUAACACCGCAUAAUAUAGCGAAACCGCAUGAUUUUGCUAUCAAAUAUUUAUAGGUAUGAGAUGGGCCCGCGUCUGAUUAGCUAGUUGGUGGGGUAAAAGCCUACCAAGGCGACGAUCAGUAGCCGGCUUGAGAGAGUGACCGGCCACAUUGGGACUGAGACACGGCCCAAACUCCUACGGGAGGCAGCAGUGGGGAAUAUUGGACAAUGGGGGAAACCCUGAUCCAGCCGACGCCGCGUGAGUGAAGAAGUUAUUUCGGUAUGUAAAGCUCUAUCAGCAGGGAAGAUAAUGACAGUACCUGACUAAGAAGCCCCGGCUAACUACGUGCCAGCCGCCGC